UAUUCCUAUGGUUCUAGAUUUUUCCUCUCUCAAUAUCCAGUAUCCAGUGUGGUUCUACCUUUUUUCCCCCUCUCAUUUUCUUAUAUAUUUUACACUCUCUUUUAUGCUUUUUUCUCUCAGCUGGGUUGGGUAUUCACCUCCAUUUCCUUGAUGCGGACCGAGGAUUUUAUUAGUCCCAGUAAAGAAGCAGAAACAACAGGAGCUCUUCGCUGGUUGCAUGAUCAAUACGUAUUGCAUUUGGUGAUCGUGCUUUGGGUGGGAGAGGCGAUUUUGGUUUUCUGCAAAAAAAAAAAAUAGUUACAAAACAAAAGGUUGACAAGAUUCAUGUCCUUAUAAGAAAAAAGGAGUUAAAGACAUGGAAAUUGACUCUAAAGGAGAACAACACUUAUAUGAUGCACAACUUUAAAAUUUUUAACAACGAGGGCCAGUAUAAGCUAUGUUUGCAUCCAUAUAAGUUGAUUUUUACUGGUGUCACUAUUGUCAUAGAAGUGGACCUUCCUAAUAUCCCUUUAAAGGCAUAUGAGUUUGUUAAUUUUGUUGAUAUCCUUGCUAGAACCUACCGACGCGAUUUGUUAGUUGGUAAUGCUAUUUAUUGUCGAACAAGUUUCAAUAUCUUAUAUUUUUGUCUACAGUUAUUUUAUUUAGUAAGGAUGUAUAUGAAUUAUUAUCUUUUUCCCUCUUUUCUUUCAUAUUUUAGAUGUCAUUGGUGUUGUUCAUGAGUUGACAUCUCACCAUGUUUUAAUUAGUCCAAAGAGGGUAGUCUUUACCUUGAAAGAUCUAAAGUGCAAAAACUAUCUCUAUCUAUUUAUUAUCCUUUAUCUACUUAGUAUGAGAUUUACAAAAUUAAAAUUUUUAUACUCUUUGGGAUGACCUCUAUUUACAAUUUGUUAAUUAUUUGAAAGAGACUGGUGGUGGUAUGGAGACGGUGGUUAUUAUGUUAAGACACGCUCACAUCAAAGAGGUACAGAGUUUUUCACUUUUGAUUUGUUUUUUAUAUUAAAAUGGUGGCUUGGUUAUAUUUUUUAUUUUACUUAAUCUUUUAACUUAUUUCCUAUUAUUAAAUUGACAUGAGUUUACCCAAUUACAAUAACUAACACAUGGCAGGGCUCAAAGCUGUUGAUUAAUGAAUCAUUACCUGAAAUACAACAAUUUAAAGAAAGAGUUGGUGUUAGCUUACCUAUAUUGGGGUUCUAACACAAAGCUCUUCACAAAAGGGUUGUAGCCUGUCACAAUCUUCUGGAUCAUCACAAUAUUCAGAGAAAGAAAAGUUCUUUUACAAAGUAGAGGUAACAGAUUGUGUUACUAUUGGCACUAUUAGAAGAAUAAUCAUGGAGAAUCAUGGAUGGUGUUAUGCAUCAUGCAUGAAGUGCAACAAGAGUGUUGUACUAGAAAAUGAACCAUUCAAAUGUUCAUGUGGCAAAUACAAUGAAGGGAGUAUAUUAAGGUUGUGUACUUUUAGUUUACCAUUACUGUAACAUCCCAAUUUUCGUAAACUAGAUUAAAAAGGAUUGUUAUUUAUAA